rnacentral:rRNA from 1 species
GACGAACGCUGGCGGCGUGCUUAACACAUGCAAGUCGAACGGAAAGGCCCUGCUUUUGUGGGGUGCUCGAGUGGCGAACGGGUGAGUAACACAUGAGUAACCUGCCCUUGACUUUGGGAUAACUUCAGGAAACUGGGGCUAAUACCGGAUAGGAGCUCCUGCUGCAUGGUGGGGGUUGGAAAGUUUCGGCGGUUGGGGAUGGACUCGCGGCUUAUCAGCUUGUUGGUGGGGUAGUGGCUUACCAAGGCUUUGACGGGUAGCCGGCCUGAGAGGGUGACCGGCCACAUUGGGACUGAGAUACGGCCCAGACUCCUACGGGAGGCAGCAGUGGGGAAUAUUGCACAAUGGGCGGAAGCCUGAUGCAGCAACGCCGCGUGCGGGAUGACGGCCUUCGGGUGGUAAACCGCUUUCGCCUGUGACGAAGCGUGAGUGACGGUAAUGGGGAAAGAAGCACCGGCUAACUACGU